CCUACGGGGGGCAGCAGUGGGGAAUAUUGGACAAUGGGGGCAACCCUGAUCCAGCCAUGCCGCGUGUGUGAAGAAGGCCCUCGGGUUGUAAAGCACUUUCAGUGAGGAAGAACGCCUGGUGGUUAAUACCCAUCAGGAAAGACAUCACUCACAGAAGAAGCACCGGCUAACUCCGUGCCAGCAGCCGCGGUAAUACGGAGGGUGCGAGCGUUAAUCGGAAUUACUGGGCGUAAAGCGCGCGUAGGUGGCUUGAUAAGCCGGUUGUGAAAGCCCCGGGCUCAACCUGGGAACGGCAUCCGGAACUGUCAAGCUAGAGUGCAGGAGAGGAAGGUAGAAUUCCCGGUGUAGCGGUGAAAUGCGUAGAGAUCGGGAGGAAUACCAGUGGCGAAGGCGGCCUUCUGGACUGACACUGACACUGAGGUGCGAAAGCGUGGGUAGCAAACAGGAUUAGAUACACCGGUAGUC
rnacentral:rRNA from 1 species